UGGGGGAUAUUGCACAAUGGGCGAAAGCCUGAUGCAGCGACGCCGCGUGGGGGAUGAAGGCCUUCGGGUUGUAAACUUCUUUUGCUCUGAACAAGGCGCACCAUGGGGUGUGUUGAGUGUAGGGGUUGAUUAGCGCCGGCUAACUACGUGCCAGCAGCCGCGGUAAUACGUAGGGCGCGAGCGUUGUCCGGAAUUAUUGGGCGUAAAGGGCUUGUAGGUGGCUGGUUGCGUCUGUCGUGAAAGCUCAUGGCUUAACUGUGCGUUUGCGGUGGGUACGGGCUGGCUUGAGUGCAGUAGGGGAGGCUGGAAUUCCUGGUGUAGCGGUGGAAUGCGCAGAUAUCAGGAGGAAUACCGGUGGCGAAGGCGGGUCUCUGGGCUGUUACUGACACUGAGGAGCGAAAGCAUGGGGAGCGAACAGG
rnacentral:rRNA from 1 species